GUGCCAGCCGCCGCGGUAAUACGUAGGGUCCGAGCGUUAAUCGGAAUUACUGGGCGUAAAGCGUGCGCAGGCGGUUUUGUAAGCCAGAUGUGAAAUCCCCGGGCUCAACCUGGGAACUGCAUUUGGGACUGCAAGGCUUGAGUACGGCAGAGGGGGGUAGAAUUCCUGGUGUAGCAGUGAAAUGCGUAGAUAUCAGGAGGAAUACCGAUGGCGAAGGCAGCCCCCUGGGUCGAUACUGACGCUCAUGCACGAAAGCGUGGGGAGCAAACAGGAUUAGAAACCCGGGUAGUCC
rnacentral:rRNA from 1 species